rnacentral:snRNA from 1 species
AUACAUUUCUCGGCCUUUUGGCUAAGAUCAAGUGUAGUAUCUGUUUUUAUCAGUUUAAUAUUUGAUAUGUGGGGUACAUCCUCACAAUGACAUUAAAUUUAUUUUUUAUGGGAACUUUC